GUGAAGUAUUGCAGGGAGAGAGGAUCCAGCGGGUGGCGAAACCUGGGGACUGAGACAAUAUUCGGCCUGAAAUAUACUCACACAUGGCUGAAGCCAUGCACGGAAAAGCUAAGCCCAAGCCACCUCUUGCCCUCAGGACCUCUGCAACCAAGAACCACUCUCCAGUUGCAUCAGAACAAAUCAGGCACAGCUCCCCGCCUUCCCUGCAACCCAGGAACAUGUGGAAAGUCGGGAUCAGAGAAGGCUUGGCCUGCCUCUCCUGAGAAGACUGGGGACCAGCUCACCUGUGUCUCCAGCCAUGCUACUGGUACAUGCACCCCAGCAAGUGCCUCUUCUCCCACUGUGGGGGCCCUCUUUCUUCCACAGAGUCUGCUCUUUUGAACUUUGAACAACAGCCACUUCUGCAAGCGUUGGAGCCUGCAAGCUGAGGACAUGAAUGAACUGAGUCAUCCCCACAGAGCUUCAUUAAUUUUAAGGCAAUUUAAGAUUUCUGAGUCACAGGCUUCAGUCAUUUAGACUUUCCCAGCUGGCAGUGUGCUUGCCCACACACAUUUUUCUUCAAAGAUUGCAUCUGUGUCUAGAUGUGUGGUUCUGCCCACUCUCCAUCAGUUUCUGAGAGAAAUCAACUUCAGAGAUGCAUGCAGGGUGACACGCAAUCCAUUUGCCAUGUGCCGCGCGCAUCUUUGUCAGGAUGAGGGUUUCAUGAAAUUAGCAGUCGGCUGUUUCAUCCACACCCGCCGCACCACAGACAUGCAGUUCUAAAUUCUAUAUCCAACACAAUAUUGUACCCAGCCUCCCAAGGAAACUCAGUUACACCAUAUGGUGACUCCACUCACUAUACAAUAUUUAGCAACUUGAUGAACAAGGAAUGAAUCAUAUCUUAACCAUCUUGGCCAAAUAUUGUUUUAUAUAGCAACAGUAUUAGUAAUAUAUAUGUUUUACUUUUUUUUUUUUAACAGUAGUACUUCCUGCUACGCCCACUGAAAAUUAAGAGCUAGACCUCACUGGAAGCAGGCUGCACAACAAAAGAGUUCUUACUCAUUAGCAAUCUUCCGUUCAACAUUGCACUGUACAUAUGAUACUCAUUAGCAAUCUCCAGUUCAACAUUGCACUGUCCAUACGAUACAUUCACAAUGUCUGCUUUUUUCUUUUCCUCCAGAGCAGCUGCUGGGAUUAAGCAAUAGUCUCCCAGGGUAACAAAGCAAGGAAUCCUGGGGCAUUUCCCAGAUACUGAAAACAAAGGACAUGUAUAGAGGGUAGUGCUGAAGCUCUCUCCUUUCCACCAGAGAGAAGCCCCUAUGGUCUCAGGGUGUAGAGAGGAACCUUCGCAAGGUCCUGGAAGGGAAAGGGUGUUCUGUGAGGGGCUGGGUGAUCCCCACAGAUCCCCUCUUGGAACCUCAGUUCUGUCAUUCAGCAAGGGUAAUAAUGAAACCUUUUCUAAAUCAUCAUGUUUCAGGCGAGUGCUAAGUCCUUUGUGCAAAAGAUGUAGGCAUUGUCUGGGACACACAUACACACACAAACACUCUCUCUCUCUCUCUCUCUCUCUCUCUCUCUCUCUCUCUCUCUCUCACACACACACACACACACACACACACACACACACACACACAAAUAAAAUGCAAUCUUCCCCUUCAGUAAGCUUACAAGGUGAUAACUGGAAGAUGCAGAGUGUAGCGUGAAUUCUAAUUGAUCUUGAUAAUAAAAACCCAGAGUCAGAUAUCGGGGUAAAUGCUGAAAGACCAGAGAAGCAGAGCAGCCAACCACUAGA